CCUACGGGAGGCAGCAGUGGGGAAUAUUGCACAAUGGGCGCAAGCCUGAUGCAGCCAUGCCGCGUGUGUGAAGAAGGCCUUCGGGUUGUAAAGCACUUUCAGCGGGGAGGAAGGCGUUAAGGUUAAUAACCUUGGCGAUUGACGUUACCCGCAGAAGAAGCACCGGCUAACUCCGUGCCAGCAGCCGCGGUAAUACGGAGGGUGCAAGCGUUAAUCGGAAUUACUGGGCGUAAAGCGCACGCAGGCGGUCUGUCAAGUCGGAUGUGAAAUCCCCGGGCUCAACCUGGGAACUGCAUUCGAAACUGGCAGGCUAGAGUCUUGUAGAGGGUGGUAGAAUUCCAGGUGUAGCGGUGAAAUGCGUAGAGAUCUGGAGGAAUACCGGUGGCGAAGGCGGCCCCCUGGACAAAGACUGACGCUCAGGUGCGAAAGCGUGGGGAGCAAACAGGAUUAGAUACCCUUGUAGUC
rnacentral:rRNA from 1 species